AGGCUGUUACGGACGGGAACAGCUGGAAAAGAGAGGCUAGUGAUGUGUAGCUGAAGUAAGAAGCUAAAUAUUAGCUCGUUAUUAGGCCAUGCAUUAGCUAAAUAUUAGAGCUAUAGUCUAAAUGCUUACCUGUCAAAGUCCGUUACAAGAUUAUCAAAUGGCAAAUCUGCAGUAUUGCGCUGUGUGGUUCACCGGCACGCAAAGUUCCAUUAUUGAUUAGGCAUAGGACUACGUUUUUAGACAAUACUUGAUUGUACCUGGGCUACAACAACACAGUGCAACGAGGAAUGUAUUAUUGUUAUGAACUCCCCUCCUGCCACCCGCCCCAGGGUACUCUCUCCUGGGCAUCGUCGUAGCUGGACUGGACCCCUCCUGGGAGCUGCUGGAGGUCAGACCUGCCUCUCUGCCCCCCGGCUCCAUCAUCCCUGGGGUAGGGGUUACCAUGUGGGUUACUGUGAUGGGAUUGGGAUUUCCUGGAAGGACUUUGGAG
rnacentral:lncRNA from 1 species